AACGUAGGGGGCCAGCGUUGCUCGGAAUUACUGGGCGUAAAGGGUCUGUAGGCGGUGCGGCAAGUCGGAAGUGAAAUCGCAGGGCUUAACUCUGCGGCUGCUUCCGAAACUGCCGUGCUCGAGUGUGAGAUAGGCGAGUGGAAUUGCAGGUGUAGCGGUGAAAUGCGUAGAUAUCUGCAGGAACAUCCGAGGCGAAAGCGGCUCGCUGGAUCACAACUGACGCUGAGAAACGAAAGCUAGGGGAGCAAACAGG
rnacentral:rRNA from 1 species